ACAUACAUGUUAACGCCACUAUUGUAGACGCCUUUACAAUUAUUUUCCCCAAAUUCUAGGGUUGUCGAGGGGGGAUUCAAUUUUCCAAGAUUUGGUGAAGGUAAGCAUACUCAGUUUAUGCUUCUUUCAUCUUACAUCCUCAUCUUAAGAGAGAGUUUUCGAUUUGGAGAGGAUCAUGUGUUGUAUUGCUCUCACCUCAAAUCCCUAGCCACCGCCAAACCCAUCGGAUUUUAUCCCGCGGCCAUUGCGAGACCAGCUGGCUUCAAUAUUGAAGUCGAUUGAUCAGUUGGGCUUCUUCUAUCGUUAUCCCUCUCAGAUUCAGCUCCAAAUCAGAAGUUCACCGGCAAUAGAGUCUAUCAAGUGUAGGAGUUGAUGUUGUCGUACUAUAAGGAACGCAGAAUCUUCACUUGGAUGCACAUGCACUCACUGGUUUGAAAAAACUUCACAUCACCAAGGUAUAGGAGGAAAAAUAUGUUUGGAUACGCUUGUAUCCUAAACACGAUCCGAAUAAGCGUUCGAAUAGAGCAUGGAAAUGGUUGUUUCUCCACCUUGUGUGUCACUGUUUCUUCAAACCAAUGGAUAUGGAUAAGAGAAGGAAGAGCAGUUGGUAGAACAUGGAUCCUCAAAUCAAGUAAUCGAGCUAGAUGGUAUGAAGCAUGACUACAUCAUUCUGGCUUUUUCAUUUUGUUUAAAGGUUAGAUUUUCAAAUUUGUUUUAAAAUUUAAUCAUAUUUUUUUAUGAAAAUGAAACAAUAAUUAAUAAUAAUAAAAUGACUAAUGAAACAACUAUAAAAGGAAUAUGCUCUUUUAUAUUGAUUUCAAACUGAUUAAAAAGAAUAUAUUUAAAUUAUAGGUAAUAUAUAUAUCCGAAAAUUAUUGUUAUGAAAAUAUUUUAUUGUUCUUAAAUAAUAGAGCUACUAAAUUCUAAUUUUGUCUAAAAUCUAUUUUUAUAAAAAAUAUUAUAUUUAAUUAAAAUAAAUAACGAAUAAUAGUAUAAUUUAAAAUCUUUAAUAAAAUUUCAUCAAUUAUGGUUUGAAUUAAUUGUAGUAAAGGUUAUUUUUAAUGUAUCAUUAAUUUGUGUGUUUUGUUUUUGAAGAUUUGUUUUUGAGGAUGGCAAACUUUGGUUUGAUAUUUUGGACUUGGGAAUUAAACACAUUAAGAAAUUUAUUGUUUGGUAUUUAAAUUAGCUAAUAAUUAGGGUGUGUUUAUGAAGAGUUUUAGCCAAGGAGAAUGUUGGAUCACACAAGAAACAAGUACAAAACCAUUUUACCAGGGAGUAGUACAAUUAAGAGACUUUAAUUGUGACGUGAAGACUAUACUACUUGUGAUUGAUUUUAUUGUGUUUAGACUUUUAAAUGGGAAAACAUGUAAUCGUAUUAAGGAGCAAGUGCAUCCAUCCACACAUAUUAAACUAUUUGAAAUAAACUUUUUGUAUAUCAAUAAUUUCAUACCCAAUAUUUAUGAAAAUUAUAUUUAAGAAAUUUGCAUAACCAUUUCUAUUAACAACAACAUAACUAUAUGUUCAGAACCGUGCCAUAGUUAGGAAAAAGAAACAUUCACUUAGGGCAUCAAAUUUUGGAGAAAAUAUUAGGAGCAUAUAUUAUUUAGACUGUAGUCCUAAUAAACUUAUGUUUAUAUGAGACUUAAUGGUUAUGCUAAAAUAAUAUGUUAAUAAUAUAGAUAAAUACGAAACAAAUAUUGAGCUUUUGAUAUGGGCUUAAUUAAGUGACUAGAAAACAAUUACUUCAACAAUUAAGGUUUUUUUAAAAGUUAAUAAAUAUUUAGGGUAAGCAAAGAAAUAUAUAUCCCUUUCUCCUCUUUUCUGAACAGAACUCAGUAAACAAAGUUUUCCUCUUGGCACAACUAUGUAUAUGUUACAAGAAAUCAAAUAUUACUUA